CUACCAGAGCAGCUUAUAAAACACAUAGAAGCACGAGGUUGUGUGUUUGAAUGGAGAGACAAAGUAUUUCAGGUAUAUAUCCAUGUCUGGUCUCUGUCUUGAGACUUGGAGAAAAUACUAAUUUAGUUAAGCAAGAGCAUUGAUCACUGAGGUUUUUAUCAUAUAUCAUGGACAGGCCGAAUUGGAUCCCAAGUGUUGGAAAUUACAGGUAGAAGAUAUAAUCCCAAGUGUUACAACAUUGAUGAUAGCGGGAUGAUUCAGCUGGCUCAUUUCUCCCAAAAUCUAAGACAGAUUAAUUUGUCGUAUAGUUCGGUUACAGAUGUCGGGCUGCUGUCACUUGCUAGUAUCAGUUCCCUACAAAGUUUUGUCCCGCUUCACCAGCAGGGCCUGGCUCCAGGAGGACUUGUUGCGGCCUUGUUGACAUGCGGAGGGCUCACAAAAGUAAAGCUCCAUAGUUCGACAAGAUUUAUGCUACCAGAGCAACUUAUAAAACACAUAGAAGCACGAGGUUGAGUGUUUGAAUGGAGGGACAAAGUAUUUCAGGCCGAAUUGGAUCCCAAGUGUUGGAAAUUACAGGUAGAAGAUAUAAUGCCACAUGAUUUUCACUGAUCAUUUGAAGUUUGAGGGAGAAGACACUUGCAUAUGGCGUUUGAUAUGCGAGUUUGCGAAGAAUUUCACGUGUUGCUCAACCAUUUCCUCCUCGUUCCUGGGCCUCCACCUCCACCACAGAGUGAAAUGGAGAAAAAAAAGUGUGAAUUUAGCAAUAAUAAUGGCAACAUUAGCAUUAAAAGAUAUGAAUAAGUAAAAUUGCGUGGAUCAGGAUCAGGAUGAGAAUCAAAACUGAA